rnacentral:rRNA from 1 species
CAGUUGUACCGGCGGAUAAUCAGCCUUUCGGGUGCGAUUCUGUGGGGCGUGAGGAGCUUAACCGCCUUCACGUUUUGCAUAUUCGUGCACAUUUGGUGUACUUGUCCGCGUGGUGGGUUAACAUCAAUUUCGGUCGUCAUAAAAUGAUUGGAGGAAUGUAGCUUUGAUCUCGUAUCGAAGUGUUAUAGACUCUGGUAGAUGUGACGUAUUGGGAUUAAGGGAUUGCAACGGAUACCCCUUCGGGGGCUACCCGUCUGAUCUCU